AUGGCAAACCAAACCAGAAUUUUAUGUUGCGUUUUGUUUGUUUUGGUUCUAAGUGGUGGAUGUGAGACACGGUCUCUGAACCCGACAAUGGUAAGUGAUCAUCACAUGUUAGAAACUUCUAAUUUGAAUUGGAAUUCCAUAGAUCCAAUUGCAGAAGAAAAUGGUGCAAAACCUGAUGAGCAAAGAUUGAGUCCCGUUGGACCUGAUGGUCAUCGCCAUUAA